rnacentral:sRNA from 1 species
GCUUCCGUACGGACGGGCCAGCCAAACGGCUGGGCCAGUCGAUCGACGGGCCAGCCGAUCGCAGGGCGGCCGAUCGGACAGGACAGCCAACCGGCUGGGCCACCCAAUCGAACGGACCAGCCGAUCGGCUGGGCCCGCCCGAUCGGAUAGCCAGCCGAUCGGCUGGGCCGGCCGAUUGAGCGG